rnacentral:tRNA from 1 species
GCAUCUGUAGCUUAACUGGCAAAGCGUUGGUUUGGUGAUCCAUGAUGCAGGUUCGAGUCCUGCCAGGUGUA